rnacentral:rRNA from 1 species
UGAGGAAUAUUGGGCAAUGCCCGAAAGGGUGACCCAGCAACGCCGCGUGGAGGAUGAAGGUCGUAAGAUUGUAAACUCCUGUUAGAGGGGAAGAAUAACUAAGUUUGGAGCUUAGUAUGACUGUACCCUCAGAGAAAGCCCCGGCUAACUACGUGCCAGCAGCCGCGGUAAUACGUAGGGGGCAAGCGUUGUCCGGAUUUACUGGGUGUAAAGGGCGCGCAGGCGGAAUGGAAAGUCAGUGGUGAAAUCCUACAGCUUAACUGUAGAACUGCCUGUGAUACUUUUAUUCUUGAGUUCGGGAGAGAGAGACGGAAUUCCAGGUGUCGUGGUCAAAUACGUAGAUAUCUGGAAGAACACCAGUUGCGAAGGCGGUCUCUUGGUCCGACACUGACGCUGAGGCGCGAAAGCGUGGGGAGCAAACA